UACGGGGGGGGCAAGCGUUGUUCGGAAUUACUGGGCGUAAAGGGCUCGUAGGUGGCCAACUAAGUCGGAUGUGAAAUCCCCAGGCUCAACCUGGGAACUGCGUCUGAUACUGGAUGGCUUGAAUCCGGGAGAGGGAUGUGGAAUUCCAGGUGUAGCGGUGAAAUGCGUAGAUAUCUGGAGGAACACCGGUGGCGAAGGCGGCAUCCUGGACCGGUAUUGACGCUGAGGCGCGAAAGCUAGGGGAGCAAACGGG
rnacentral:rRNA from 1 species